UAGGGAAUCUUCCGCAAUGGACGCAAGUCUGACGGAGCAACGCCGCGUGAGUGAAGAAGGAUUUCGGUUCGUAAAACUCUGUUGUUAGAGAAGAACAGCGCAUAGAGUAACUGUUAUGCGUGUGACGGUAUCUAACCAGAAAGCCACGGCUAACUACGUGCCAGCAGCCGCGGUAAUACGUAGGUGGCAAGCGUUGUCCGGAUUUAUUGGGCGUAAAGCGAGCGCAGGCGGUCAAUUAAGUCUGAUGUGAAAGCCCCCGGCUCAACCGGGGAGGGUCAUUGGAAACUGGUUGACUUGAGUGCAGAAGAGGAGAGUGGAAUUCCAUGUGUAGCGGUGAAAUGCGUAGAUAUAUGGAGGAACACCAGUGGCGAAGGCGACUCUCUGGUCUGUAACUGACGCUGAGGCACGAAAGCGUGGGUAGCAAACAGG
rnacentral:rRNA from 1 species